UACGAAGGGGGCAAGCGUUGUUCGGAAUUACUGGGCGUAAAGGGCGCGCAGGCGGCCGAUCAAGUCAGAUGUGAAAGCCCCGGGCUCAACCUGGGAAUAGCAUUUGGGACUGUUUGGCUAGAGAUCGGGAGAGGAGAGUGGAAUUCCCAGUGGUAGGGGUAGAAAUUCGUAGAUAUUGGGAAGAACACCGGUGGCGAAGGGCGGUCUGCUGGGCGAGUAGCUGACACUGAGGCGCGACAGCGUGGGGAGCAACAGG
rnacentral:rRNA from 1 species